UACGUAGGGUGCGAGCGUUGUCCGGAAUUAUUGGGCGUAAAGGGCUCGUAGGCGGUUUGUCGCGUCGGGAGUGAAGACCAGGUGCUUAACACCUGGCUUGCUUUCGAUACGGGCAGACUAGAGGUAUUCAGGGGAGAACGGAAUUCCUGGUGUAGCGGUGAAAUGCGCAGAUAUCAGGAGGAACACCGGUGGCGAAGGCGGUUCUCUGGGCAUUACCUGACGCUGAGGAGCGAAAGUGUGGGGAGCGAACAGG
rnacentral:rRNA from 1 species